UUGUAGGAAAAUAUAGAUAUAUUUAGAGAAUAUCUUUAAUCAACAUUUAACUAAUUUAUCGAAUAUAUUUCUCUCAUAUUUCGAAACAUAAUGUGACUUAUUAAGUGAUCUUGUAAUUGUCGUUACUGUCAUUUAUUAUGUGUCUUGUGUCUUGAGAUGUUCUCUAACUCAACCGAUUGAUCAUCAAGAUCUGGUUCGUCCAGUCCCGGUACAAAAGCAAAGAAAAAUAUAUAUAGAUAAUAUAACAUGACUGUACGUGGAUAGAAGGGAAUUUGAGAUAAGAUGGUAACCGAAUACAGUUGGGCACUGUAAAGAGGAAGACAAUGUGAGAAGCCUCUUUGUGUAGAUUUUUAACGCUUUGGGAUGAUUUAUCCACAUCUGCACACCAGCAUAACAUCCUUGUCAGCCAGAACCAAGGCCAAUAAUAAGACUCCGUGAAUGAAGGAUAAUUACAAAAUUCCACUCUUUAUUAUCUUUGGUUGUGUUGUGUGACUGUGAAUUCUAGUGGGGUCUAACUUGAAUUCAGUGUUUAUUUCAUUGGACCAACAAAAAAUCUAGAAACAUGGAAGCCAAAGUUACUUGCACAGAGACAAACACCUGCCAUAAACAUUUGAACACUUUUAUAUCGAUAUUAGCAUCAUCCACUUUCCUAACCUGAAACAACAACACUUGCAAACGUUUGUUAUGAAUCUUGUGUUAUAGAACAAGUCAUGUUGAACUUUGUUUUAGUGUACCUGUGAAUGGGUUUGAGAAUAAUCCUUCUUCAAUCAUUCACAUCUCGUGUAAUGAUCUAGACCUUGGAAUAUCUGAUGAGCAGAAAUUCAACCUAUAUAUAUGUUCAGACAUGUUUGCUCUCAUAUGUGUUGAAGUAUUAGGCUUUAAAACGAACACAAAAUAAAAGGUUUCGCGAGGCGUGAGUAAUCACUGUCCGUAAGGACUUAUCCGCGGUGUAUUGCGUAAGUCCCCCAGAAUACAACAGGAACUUUCCGGAUGUUUCCGAAGAUCAGAACUAGCAAGUUACUCUUUAAAAGAGUAAUACCCAAUGGAACCCAAUAUAAUACUUAAAAAUAUAAUAAAGUAAGUGAGGAGAGAGAAAGUGAAAAAGAGAGAAGAAAAGAAGCUACGGUGGGUGAAGAAGAUGAAGAGAGUGAAU
rnacentral:lncRNA from 1 species